GUCCAGACUCCUACGGGAGGCAGCAGUGAGGAAUAUUGGUCAAUGGGCGAGAGCCUGAACCAGCCAAGUCGCGUGAAGGAUGACGGCCCUACGGGUUGUAAACUUCUUUUGUCAGGGAGCAAUUGGGUCCACGCGUGGGCUUAGCGAGAGUACCUGAAGAAAAAGCAUCGGCUAACUCCGUGCCAGCAGCCGCGGUAAUACGUAGGGGGCAAGCGUUAUCCGGAUUUACUGGGUGUAAAGGGAGCGUAGACGGCAUGGCAAGUCAGAUGUGAAAGCCCGGGGCUCAACCCCGGGACUGCAUUUGAAACUGUCAGGCUGGAGUGCAGGAGAGGUAAGUGGAAUUCCUAGUGUAGCGGUGAAAUGCGUAGAUAUUAGGAGGAACACCAGUGGCGAAGGCGGCUUACUGGACUGUAACUGACGUUGAGGCUCGAAAGCGUGGGGAGCAAACAGGAUUAGAUACCCUCGUA
rnacentral:rRNA from 1 species